AUUGAACGCUGGCGGCAGGCCUAACACAUGCAAGUCGAACGAGUGGCGGACGGGUGAGUAAUGUCUGGGAAACUGCCUGAUGGAGGGGGAUAACUACUGGAAACGGUAGCUAAUACCGCAUACUAUCAGAUGAGCCUAGGUCGGAUUAGCUAGUAGGUGGGGUAAAGGCUCACCUAGGCGACGAUCCCUAGCUGGUCUGAGAGGAUGACCAGCCACACUGGAACUGAGACACGGUCCAGACUCCUACGGGAGGCAGCAGUGGGGAAUAUUGCACAAUGGGCGCAAGCCUGAUGCAGCCAUGCCGCGUGUAUGAAGAAGGCCUUCGGGUUGUAAAGUACUUUCAGCGGGGAGGCGUUACCCGCAGAAGAAGCACCGGCUAACUCCGUGCCAGCAGCCGCGGUAAUAC
rnacentral:rRNA from 1 species